ensembl:snRNA U1 U1 spliceosomal RNA
AUACUUACCUGGCAGGGAAGAUACUAUGAUCACAAAGGUGGUUUUCCCAAGGCGAGGCAUUUUCAUUGCAUUUUCUCAAAUCAUUUCAUUGAUUUCCUCAAAUGUGGAAAACUCUACUGCAUAAUUUGUGAUAGUGGGAACUGUGUUCGUGCUCUCCUAC